ensembl:miRNA MIR30C1 microRNA 30c-1
CAGGCAUGUAAACAUCCUACACUCUCAGCUGUGUUGUCAUGGAGCUGGGAGAAGGGUGUUUACUCUUCUGGUGAUGGAGAAACCUCAUCAAGACGAA